AGCAGCACAGGGAGGAUGGAGAAGCUGGAAAUGCUCCCCCAACCCCAGCCCCGUCCCAGGCUGGUUACUCUCCUCCCCGAGCCCAUCAUCACAGUGGUGUUGGAAACUUCAGCAACGAGAAACCAAAGUGACGUUCAAAGGCUCUGAUUAACUGAAUGGCUCAGCUUCCUCCAGGCUGCUCCCAGGAGGCAGGCCCACAUUGGCAGAGCCUCCCCAGCAUCCUCCAACAGAAGGUCACCUCCUGCCUGCCCCCUCAGCAGCAUCUCUGAGGGCACCAGGAGUCCUUGCUGCCAGCUCGGCUCUGUGGUUAGCGCACAUAGCAAGGUCAGGCAGCAGGUGAGUGUUUCUCACUCCUCAGGCUGCUUCAGAGUUGCCAGCAGGAUUUGUGCAGUGGUUUGACUGCAGCCUCCCCACUGGUGUCAAGAGAGAAGCCAGCCAAGUGUUUAGCCUGCCCAGUUGUCAGGUGGUGCCUGCUUCUCACGUCUUGGUGCUCCUGCUCCACUAUAUGGUAGAGACUAAUGCCCAGAGCUACCCUAUCCAAACAGAGCUUCAAGGCAGAUAUUUCUUCUGGA